rnacentral:rRNA from 1 species
CUACGGGAGGCAGCAGUGGGGAAUAUUGCGCAAUGGCCGCAAGGCUGACGCAGCGACGCCGCGUGUGGGAUGACGGUCUUCGGAUUGUAAACCACUGUCAGGGGGAACGAAUGCGGGACGUCGAAUAGGCGAUCUCGAGUGACGGUACCUCCAAAGGAAGCACCGGCUAACUCCGUGCCAGCAGCCGCGGUAAUACGGAGGGUGCGAGCGUUGUCCGGAAUCACUGGGCGUAAAGGGCGCGUAGGUGGUUCGGUAAGUUGCUGGUGAAAUCCCGGGGCUCAACUCCGGGGCUGCCGGCAAGACUGUCGGACUUGAGCACGGUAGGGGCAGAUGGAAUUCCCGGUGUAGCGGUGGAAUGCGUAGAUAUCGGGAAGAAUACCAGUGGCGAAGGCGUUCUGCUGGGCCGUUGCUGACACUGAGGCGCGACAGCGUGGGGAGCAAACAGGAUUAGAUACCCCGGUAGC